rnacentral:rRNA from 1 species
UACGGAGGGUGCAAGCGUUAUCCGGAUUCACUGGGUUUAAAGGGUGCGUAGGUGGAAUGGUAAGUCAGUGGUGAAAUCUCCAAGCUUAACUUGGAAACUGCCGUUGAUACUAUCAUUCUUGAAUAUCGUGGAGGUAAGCGGAAUAUGUCAUGUAGCGGUGAAAUGCUUAGAUAUGACAUAGAACACCGAUUGCGAAGGCAGCUUGCUACACGAUCAUUGACACUGAGACGCGAAAGCGUGGGGAGCAAACAGG